UGAGAAAAGCAUCUGCUUAAUCGAGGAAAAACUCUUCAAACAGGGAAAUGAGUUGAACAAAGAGAAAAAGUGCUCCUCCACGCAGACUGAGAACGAGCAGGAAGCUGACAAAGACCCAAAGCCCACAGCAAAGAGAACUGGAUCAGACAUGUCACCACCCAGGAAAGCUCAAAAGCCUCGACUUGAUGCUGCUUCACCUGAUCCUACAAACACAACACACACAACACAAUCUCUCAUCUCCAGUGCAUUAGAAACACUACAAAAGUCCUGUUCUGAUGUUUUACCUACAGACAGGAUUCAUGCACUUCUCACAGG